rnacentral:rRNA from 1 species
AAGAAACCAACAGGGAUUGCCUUAGUAACGGCGAGUGAAGCGGCAAAAGCUCAAAUUUGAAAUCUGGCACCUUCGGUGUCCGAGUUGUAAUUUGAAGAAGGUAACUUUGGGAUUGGCUCUUGUCUAAGUUCCUUGGAACAGGACGUCACAGAGGGUGAGAAUCCCGUGCGAUGAGAUGACCAAUCCUAUGUAAAGUGCUUUCGAAGAGUCGAGUUGUUUGGGAAUGCAGCUCUAAGUGGGUGGUAAAUUCCAUCUAAAGCUAAAUAUUGGCGAGAGACCGAUAGCGAACAAGUACAGUGAUGGAAAGAUGAAAAGAACUUUGAAAAGAGAGUGAAAAAGUACGUGAAAUUGUUGAAAGGGAAGGGCUUGAGAUCAGACUUGGUAUUUUGCAUUCCUUACCUUCGUGGUGGGGUUCCUUGCAGUUUACUGGGCCAGCAUCGGUUUGGAUGGUGGGAUAAUGACAUUGGAAUGUGGCUCUGCUUCGGUAGAGUGUUAUAGCCAGUGUUGAUACCGCCUGUCUAGACCGAGGACUGCGUCUUUGACUAGGAUGCUGGCAUAAUGAUCUUAAGUC